rnacentral:rRNA from 1 species
GGUCAAGCUACAAAGGGCUCACGGCGGAUACCUUGGCACACAGAGGCGAUGAAGGACGUGGUUACCUGCGAUAAGUCUCGGGGAGCUGGAAGCACGCUUUGAUCCGGGAAUUUCCGAAUGGGGCAACCCUUAAUACGGCCAGCUGAAUCCAUAGGCUGGCACGAGCCAACCCAGCGAACUGA